rnacentral:rRNA from 1 species
AGUGAACGCUGGCGGUAGGCCUAACACAUGCAAGUCGAACGGCAGCACAGUAAGAGCUUGCUCUUACGGGUGGCGAGUGGCGGACGGGUGAGGAAUACAUCGGAAUCUACUUUUUCGUGGGGGAUAACGUAGGGAAACUUACGCUAAUACCGCAUACGACCUACGGGUGAAAGCAGGGGAUCUUCGGACCUUGCGCGAUUGAAUGAGCCGAUGUCGGAUUAGCUAGUUGGCGGGGUAAAGGCCCACCAAGGCGACGAUCCGUAGCUGGUCUGAGAGGAUGAUCAGCCACACUGGAACUGAGACACGGUCCAGACUCCUACGGGAGGCAGCAGUGGGGAAUAUUGGACAAUGGGCGCAAGCCUGAUCCAGCCAUACCGCGUGGGUGAAGAAGGCCUUCGGGUUGUAAAGCCCUUUUGUUGGGAAAGAAAAGCAGCAGGUUAAUACGCCGCCGUUCUGACGGUACCCAAAGAAUAAGCACCGGCUAACUUCGUG